AACGAACGCUGGCGGCAUGCCUAACACAUGCAAGUCGAACGCCCCGCAAGGGGAGUGGCGCACGGGAUAGUAACGCGUGGGAAUCUGCCUUGUAGUUCGGAAUAACACCGGGAAACUGGUGCUAAUACCGGAUACGCCCUUCGGGGGAAAGUGUUUCGCUAUAAGAGGAGCCCGCGUAAGAUUAGCUAGUUGGUGAGGUAAUGGCUCACCAAGGCGACGAUCUUUAGCUGGUCUGAGAGGACGAUCAGCAUCACUGGGACCGAGACACGGCCCAGACUCCUACGGGAGGCAGCAGUGGGGAAUAUUGGACAAUGGGGAAACCCUGAUCCAGCAAUGCCGCGUGGGUGAUGAAGGUCUUCGGAUUGUAAAGCCCUUUUGGCAGGGACGAUGAUGACGGUACCUGCAGAAUAAGCUCCGGCUAACUUCGUGCCAGCAGCCGCGGUAA
rnacentral:rRNA from 1 species